GUUGAAGAACGCAGCGAAAUGCGAUAAGUAAUGUGAAUUGCAGAAUUCAGUGAAUCAUCGAAUCUUUGAACGCACAUUGCGCCCGUCAGUAUUCUGGCGGGCAUGCCUGUUCGAGCGUCAUUACGCCCCUCAAGUCCCCUGUGGACUUGGUGUUGGGGAUCGGCGAGGCUGGUUUUCCAGCACAGCCGUCCCUUAAAUUAAUUGGCGGUCUCGCCGUGGCCCUCCUCUGCGCAGUAGUAAAACACUCGCAACAGGAGCCCGGCGCGGUCCACUGCCGUAAAACCCCCCAACUUUUUAUAGUUGACCUCGAAUCAGGUAGGACUACCCGCUGAACUUAAGCAUAUCAAUAAGCGGAGGA
rnacentral:misc_RNA from 1 species